GACCAGUUAGCUCAGUCGGUUGAGUGUGAUGCUGAUAACACCUAAGUCAUGGGUUCGAUUCCCAUUCAGUCU
rnacentral:tRNA from 1 species